ACUCUGGAAUAUAGACCCAUAAUCGACAAAACUUUGAACGAGGCUGACUGUGCCACCGUCCCCCCAGCCAUUCGCUCCUACUGAUGAGACAAGAUGCGGUGAUGACAGAAUCAGCUUUUGUAAUUACUGCACAGCCAGAGAACAACACAUCACACACAAGAAACAGUUGUGCUCAUGUGAUGGGGGCCUCAGCACUAGGAAGGAGUGGACUGUUGGCGCACGCAGCAGCUUGAAUAAAUCUGAAAGUCACUACGCUGCGUAAGAGAAGCCAAAUAAAGCGCAUGCUGUGUACAGAGGGUGUCGAGAAUGUGUCCUACGUGACGGAAAGCAGAUCCGUGGUUCCCUGCAGACUGGCAGGAGCAGAUUCCAAAGGCACAGGAAGAAGCUUGCAGUACAAAGAUAAAAAUCUAAAGUGGUUGCUGUGGAGGACAGGGGUCAGUGGUGGAAGUGAGACCGAAAUAGACUCUGAAGUAAUAUCUGGACUUUGAAAUUGCGCCAACCCUGAGACCAAAAUUUGGAAGGUGGCCCUGAGCAGCAGCUGAAGGGAAGUGGGAGGCAGCUAUUCCCAACCCCAGAACCUUUGCUGUCUUGGAACAGAUCACCACUGCAAGAGGGGAAGUUGCUACUGUGAUGAAUUCUGCCAUGUGGUACCAGACUGCUACCCAGACCACAGUGUCCUCUGCAACCCUCCUUCUCAGAUGACCAAGAUGGUGCUGCAGAUGGUGCUGAGGAUGGAGAACCCACCAAGCCC
rnacentral:lncRNA from 1 species